CGCGGCCUAUCAGCUUGUUGGCGGGGUAACGGCCCACCAAGGCAACGACGGGUAGCUGGUUUGAGAGAACGAUCAGCCACACUGGAACUGAGACACGGUCCAGACUUCUACGGAAGGCAGCAGUAGGGAAUCUUGCGCAAUGGGCGAAAGCCUGACGCAGCGACGCCGCGUGCGGGAUGACGGCCCUAGUGGUUGUAAACCGCUUUCAGCAGGGACGAGAAUGACGGUACCUGCAGAAGAAGUCCCGGCUAACUACGUGCCAGCAGCCGCGGUAAUACGUAGGGGACAAGCGUUGUCCGGAUUCAUUGGGCGUAAAGAGCUCGUAGGCGGUUCAGUAAGUUGGGUGUGAAAGCUCCGGGCUCAACCCGGAGAGGCCACUCAAUACUGCUGUGACUAGAGUCCAGUAGAGGAGCGUGGAACUCCUGGUGUAGCGGUGAAGUGCGCAGAUAUCAGGAAGAACACCGGCAGCGAAGGCGGCGCUCUGGGCUGGUACUGACGCUGAGGAGCGAAAGCAUGGGUAGCAAACAGGAUUAGAUACCCUGGUAGUCCAUGCCGUAAACGUUGGGCACUAGGUGUGGGGAGGAAUCAACCCUCUCCGUGCCGUAGCUAACGCAUUAAGUGCCCCGCCUGGGGAGUACGG
rnacentral:rRNA from 1 species